GACAGAGGUGCCAAGCGUUAGGCGGAAUCACUGGGCUUAAAGCGUGUGUAGGCGGAUUGGUAAGUACCUUGUGAAAUCCCGCGGCUCAACCGUGGAACUGCUUGGUAUACUGCUUAUCUUGGGCCACUUAGGGGCUACCGGAACAAACGGUGGAGCGGUGAAAUGCGUAGAUAUCGUUUGGAACGCCAAUGGUGAAAACAGGUAGCUGGGAGUGUGCCGACGCUGAGACACGAAAGCCAGGGGAGCGAACGGG
rnacentral:rRNA from 1 species